rnacentral:rRNA from 1 species
GACGAACGCUGGCGGCGUGCUUAACACAUGCAAGUCGAACGGAAAGGCCUCUUUCGGGGGGUACUCGAGUGGCGAACGGGUGAGUAACACGUGAGUAACCUGCCCUUGACUUUGGGAUAACUUCAGGAAACUGGGGCUAAUACCGGAUAGGAGCUCCUGCUGCAUGGUGGGGGUUGGAAAGUUUCGGCGGUUGGGGAUGGACUCGCGGCUUAUCAGCUUGUUGGUGGGGUAGUGGCUUACCAAGGCUUUGACGGGUAGCCGGCCUGAGAGGGUGACCGGCCACAUUGGGACUGAGAUACGGCCCAGACUCCUACGGGAGGAAGCAGUGGGGAAUAUUGCACAAGGGGUGGAAGCCUGAUGCAGCAACGCCGUGUGCGGGAUGACGGCCUUCGGGUUGUAAACCGCUUUCGCUCAUGACGAAGCUUUGUGUGACGGUAGUGGGUAAAGAAGCACCGGCUAACUACGUG